AGAUUGAACGCUGGCGGCAUGCCUUACACAUGCAAGUCGAACGGCAGCACGGGGGCAACCCUGGUGGCGAGUGGCGAACGGGUGAGUAAUGCAUCGGAACGUGCCCAGUAGUGGGGGAUAACUAGUCGAAAGAUUAGCUAAUACCGCAUACGACCUAUGGGUGAAAGCGGGGGAUUCGCAAGAACCUCGCGCUAUCGGAGCGGCCGAUGUCUGAUUAGCUAGUUGGCGGGGUAAAGGCCCACCAAGGCUUCGAUCAGUAGCUGGUCUGAGAGGACGACCAGCCACACUGGGACUGAGACACGGCCCAGACUCCUACGGGAGCAGCAGUGGGGAAUUUGGACAUGGGCGCAAGCCUG
rnacentral:rRNA from 1 species